rnacentral:rRNA from 1 species
UGCGAUCAUACCAGCACUAAUGCACCGGAUCCCAUCAUAACUCCGCAGGUAAGGGUGCUUGGGCGAUAGUAGUACUAGGAUGGGUGACCACCCGGGAAGUCUGUGAGAAUUAGUGA